AUUGAACGCUGGCGGCAUGCUUUACACAUGCAAGUCGAACGGUAACAGGCCUUCGGGUGCUGACGAGUGGCGAACGGGUGAGUAAUGCAUCGGAACGUACCCAGAGGUGGGGGAUAACGCAGCGAAAGCUGUGCUAAUACCGCAUGUGUUCUGAGGAUGAAAGCGGGGGACCGAGCAGCAAUGUUUGGCCUCGCGCCUUUGGAGCGGCCGAUGUCGGAUUAGCUAGUUGGUGGGGUAAAGGCCUACCAAGGCGACGAUCCGUAGCUGGUCUGAGAGGACGACCAGCCACACUGGGACUGAGACACGGCCCAGACUCCUACGGGAGGCAGCAGUGGGGAAUGUUGGACAAUGGGCGCAAGCCUGAUCCAGCAAUGCCGCGUGCGGGAAGAAGGCCUUCGGGUUGUAAACCGCUUUUGGCAGGAACGAAACGGUGUCCGCUAAUACCGGGCGCUAAUGACGGUACCUGCAGAAUAAGCACCGGCUAACUACGUG
rnacentral:rRNA from 1 species